rnacentral:rRNA from 1 species
AGUCACUGACAUUAGAUACCCCGGUAGUCCCAGCCGUAAACCAUGUGCGUUAGGUGUGUCGGUAACCACGUGUUACUGAUGCGCCGAAGAGAAAUCGUGAAACGCACCACCUGGGAAGUACGGUCGCAAGGCUGAAACUUAAAGGAAUUGGCGGGGGCGCACCACAACAGGUGGAGCCUGCGGUUUAAUUGGAUUCAACGCCGGACAUCUCACCGGAUAAGACAGCUGAAUGAUUGUCAAUCUGAAGGUUUUACAUGACUAGCUG